rnacentral:rRNA from 1 species
AACGAACGCUGGCGGCAUGCCUAACACAUGCAAGUCGAGCGGAUGAGUGGAGCUUGCUCCAUGAUUCAGCGGCGGACGGGUGAGUAAUGCCUAGGAAUCUGCCUGGUAGUGGGGGACAACGUUUCGAAAGGAACGCUAAUACCGCAUACGUCCUACGGGAGAAAGCAGGGGACCUUCGGGCCUUGCGCUAUCAGAUGAGCCUAGGUCGGAUUAGCUAGUUGGUGGGGUAAAGGCCUACCAAGGCGACGAUCCGUAACUGGUCUGAGAGGAUGAUCAGUCACACUGGAACUGAGACACGGUCCAGACUCCUACGGGAGGCAGCAGUGGGGAAUAUUGGACAAUGGGCGAAAGCCUGAUCCAGCCAUGCCGCGUGUGUGAAGAAGGUCUUCGGAUUGUAAAGCACUUUAAGUUGGGAGGAAGGGCAGUAAGUUAAUACCUUGCUGUUUUGACGUUACCAACAGAAUAAGCACCGGCUAACUCUGUGCCAGCCGCCGCCGUAAUAC